AUGGAUACUAAUCUGGUUAAUAUGCAAUUAGUUACUCGACAUAACCGGUCAGUGCUAAAGCCGUGCCAUGCGCGCGAGGCGGAAUUAUCCCCCGUGCACCCAGCGCUGCAGCAAAGAACGCUUCCCAGAGCUCCAAAACGAGCCUCAGCGAGUUUCUCCGACCGGCUUUCGGCAUCAGCAGCACCGGCGCAGGAGGGCACAAGCAAGCAGGGACCCCCGCCGCCCCGUACCUUCUGCGUCAUGCAGUCGGCCACGCCGAGGUCCACGCAGAGCCGGGGCCCUGAAGCCUUGGCCUCCAGCAGACGUUCCUUCACGACGGCGGCCGAGGCCCUCCCGCCAUCCCGGCGGGCAGCCCCUGGGAGGCAAAGCAGAGGAGAUGGCGGACCGAGCCCCGGCUGGGCCCCCUCCCUACCCCCGCCACCCCCUCCACCGGGGCCGCUCCGCGUCGCUCCGUGGCCCUCACCCGGUCCCUCGGCCCGCCGGGCCCUGCUCUUCUCCCGUUCCUGCCGCCGCUUCCACCUCUUGGCCGCCAACACCCGCUCCCAGCGCCUCCGCUUCCGCAGCGCGUUCCUCUGUGGGAGCAGCGAGGGGGGGGAGUGUGUGUGUGUGUUGUGUGUGUGCUUCAGGGCCGCGACCCUCCGCCCAGCCGAACACGGCGGCGAGGCGACGGCGAGGAACCGGAGCGGAGCUGAGGGGAGCUCGGCCCGUCCCGCCCCGCCGCAACCUACCGAGCACCGCGCCGCUCCUCCCUCCCGCUCCACGCCACCGGGGCCGACGGCCGAAGGGUCGAUCCGCAGCAGCCGCAGGGCCUCGCAGGCCACCGCCGCCUCCGCCGACGAACAACCGGCCUCAGCGGCCCCGCCGCCCGCCAUCACCGCCGGCUCGAUCCCUUCCAGGGCGGAGCGGUGCGUGGGCGGAGACGUGAGGGGGGUUUCUCCCGGGAGCUACGGCGCGGCCGUGGAGGAGGACGUACCGGGAGAAGGCGCGACGGAUUUCCCCCCCCCCCGGCCUGUACCGGCCACACCGACCCUGCUCCGGAGGCCGGCGGAGGGGAGGACGAGCCAUGUUGAGCGGCUCCCUGCUGCGCGGCCUGCGGCUGCUGCCCGCCCGCCCGGCCGUGAGUAG
rnacentral:lncRNA from 1 species